GGAAGGGCCUCAUCAAAGGCAAAAACAGAGGGGGUCGCGACGGCGCCGUUGGACUUCGGCUGGGUUUUUCGACUGUUUGGCCGGUGGUUUGGAUCCAGUUUGGCCAUAGACGGACUCAGCAUCGAAAAACAAGCUAGGGGGAGAAAAUUUACCUCUAUCGAACGGUCCAGAUUUAAUCUUGAAGGACGGUUGAGAUUAAAAGGCAAAGGGUAU
rnacentral:lncRNA from 1 species